GCCGGCUCCUCGGCGCGCUGUGUUGGGCGUAGACACAGAGUGAGCGGCAGUGAUCCUGAUCCCUUGCUUGCUAGUCAUGGCGACCGAAAAGAGGCCUUAUCGCUUUGUGGUCCUCGGAGCCUCCGGCUUCACCGGCCAGUACGUGGCUCAGGAGGUGGCCCGGCAGCAGAUGAACCCGGAGCUACGAGGCUCCGCGCUGCCCUGGGCUGUGGCCGGCCGGAGUCGGGAGAAGCUGCUGCAGGUGUUGGAGAAGGCAGCACAGAAAUUGGAGAGACCUACACUUCCAGAUGAAGUUGGUAUAAUAAUCUGUGAUAUCAUUAAUCCAGCCUCUCUUGAUGAAAUGGCUAAACAAGCAUCUGUUGUUCUCAAUUGUAUAGGACCAUAUCGAUUUUAUGGAGAACCUGUGGUCAAAGCAUGUAUUGAAAAUGGAGCUAGCUAUGUUGACAUCUCUGGCGAACCACAGUUUCUGGAAGAAAUGUAUUGGAAGUAUCAUGAAAAAGCUGCAGAGAAAGGGGUAUAUGUUAUUGGAAGCAGUGGUUUUGGUUCCAUUCCAGCUGAUCUAGGAGUAUUAUAUACCAGAAAUAAAUUGAAAGGUACUCUGACUGCCGUUGAAAGUUUCCUGACAGUAAAUUCAGGACCUGAGGGAAUGUGUAUUCAUGAUGGAACUUGGAAGUCAGCUGUUCAUGGUUUUGGUGACCAGAAGCGUUUAAGAAACCUACGAAAACAAUCAAAUAUGAAACCUGUUCCAGUUGUUGGUUCGAAAUUGAAAAGAAGAUGGCCUGUUUCUUACUGUAGUGAACUGCAUGAAUAUUCUAUCCCAUUCAUGGGAGCUGAUGUCUCUGUUGUGAAGAGGACACAGCGGUUCUUGUAUGAAGACUUGCAGGAAACACCAGUUCAGUACGCUGCUUAUGUGACUGUUGGAGGCCUCACUUCCAUUAUUAAGCUGAUGUUUGCGGGACUUUUCUUUUUACUCUUCGUGAAGUUUAGCAUUGGAAGGCAACUUCUGGUAAAAUUUCCAUGGUUUUUCUCCUUCGGGUAUUUCUCACAACAAGGACCAACGCAGAAACAGAUGGAUGAUGCUUCAUUUACAUUUACAUUCUUUGGUCAAGGAUAUAGCCAGGACCAUACUACAAAACAUGGCAAACCCAAUAUUAAAAUUUGCACUCAAGUGAAAGGACCAGAGCCUGGUUAUGUGGCUACACCCAUAGCAAUGGUUCAGGCAGCUGUGACUCUUUUAAAAGAUACCUCUGAGCUUCCUAAGGGAGGUGGUGUCUUCACACCAGGAGCCGCUUUCUCAAAAACCAAGCUGAUUGAAAGACUCAACCAAUGUGGCAUUGAAUUUAGUGUCAUUAGCAGCUCUGAAGUCUAAAAUUUAGAAAUAUUUAUAAAAUUGCAUGAAUUAACAGCUUCUCCAUUUGAUACUUGAAAUUCUUAUUUCCUUGUGAUUAGGGCAGAAAGGCUUUCAUAAAAAGCAGUUUGUGCUUGGCACACAUGCGCUAUGUUGCUAUUCUUAACUGAUAUCACUGCUUGUCAGAGCAUCAGAUAUUUCCCUUACGUAGAUGUGAAGUGGCUGGUCAGGUGGGAGAAGUGAGCUUUGAAACAUGGAGGGGAACUUUGCAGUGAGUUUCCCUGAUGCUUUUAUGUGCCUUUGCUAUUCAAGCUUGAUUCUCACUACCCUCUAACUAGCUUUGGUUAUUGAGUGAGAUGAAGACUAAGUACAGGUGCCAUCUAGGUGAUUGCUUGUGUACUGACUUGUCUCUCAUAUUUACACAGGAGUAUGAAUGUGCUUCUCAUGCCCCAACUUACCUGCUAAUGAUAUUUAGUGAGUCUGUCUUCUGGCUGCAUUUGUAAAGACUAUACUUGGAUGUGCUGAUUUUUCUUUGAUUUUCAGUGCCCAAAAAUAAUGUAAUACCUAAGGAGGCCCUGGCUUUGUCACAUAGAGCUCAGUUGAGAACCAUAUUCUGUACCUCAUUUCUACUGUUACCUACAGAAGUUAACUCUUCACAUUUUGAUAGGCAAAAGAGGUUUAGUGACUAAUACCUCCCAGGAUGCUGCUAAAUGUGUUGGAAAGAAAAUCCAUUUACCCAUAGAAUAUGGAAGUAGCUGGUUACUUACAGGAGGCCUGUUAUGUCUUAGCUUGAGAAACUGUCCUCUUACUAUGUUCAUACUUCGAUAGAAGACCUUAAGAGCUUUGGCAAAGUCAGCAUCGUUGCUGAUCCGAGGCGUGUACAUCUGAGGAGUGUCUUUUUGUGAUGCUGCCUGUGCAGUUAUUCUGGAUGCACUGGAUAGUUUAUGAUCUGGAAGAAAAGGGGUUUUAUUCAGGGUUUUUUUCAGGGUUACUCAAUAUGUAGGCAUAGUCUACCUAAAAUAAAUGAUAGGGAAACAUGUGUUUGCAAAACUUUUACCACCCUGUUAAGUGAAACAUUUAAGUAAUACUGAAGAAUUACUCUGCAGAGCAGCAAAUACAUUGUUCUUCCUUGGCUUAGUAGUUAUAUCAGAAACAUUCUAAUUGGAAGCCUAUUAUGAUUGAUAUCUUAACAUAAUCAAAGCUUAAGUGCAUCACUGACCUUGUCCAGGACCACAUCCCUUUAGGGAAUCCUUGAGAAGUACGUUCUCUUCUCUUAGGGCUCUGUUAAUGUUUCUGAGCAGUUCUGUUUCCUGUUCUAACUUCAGCAGCUUCAAAUAAAGUUCUGCCAUUUGGUUUGAUGUAGCCUAUAAAGUAA